UAAACCACAAAACUUUUUGUUCCUACCUGCACACACGUCCGUGUCACAUUCGGAAUAUUUUGUCCCAAAGAGGUUGCUCAAAGUACAGCGGCGUUCCAGUAUUGUCGGUUGCCUGGGUGUAGGUACACUCGGCGGGUUUGAAGGUCGAGAACUACCGCUGCAUUUGGCGGUGCUCAUUUAGCAUGCUAGUUAACCUAGCAGGCUUCCACAGACAAAAUGGAACUGUUUAUAUACUGGGUUUUCUGCAGGUCCAUCAGCUCUGUCUUGGGUGGCUAUAGACCCUACCCACGUGACGUCACAACUCCGCUCUCCUGAAUGGCGUGUGUGGCUGUUGGUUGCACUAACAGAGAAGAUGGAAGGAGAGACUUGAAGUUUUACCGUAUUCCGAGGGAUCCAAAGAGGAGAGCGAAAUGGACGGCUGCAAUUCGACGUGAAAACUGGGCACCAAAAAAUCACCACAGACUAUGUAGUAGUCAUUUUAUAUCCGGUAAGAUGCAUUUAAGAUAUACUUAGAGAGUUUUGGGCUGACAAAUAACCACAAUUAAGAUCAUUGCGAGGCUAAUCGCCGACAACAUACGACGUAGUACGACAUAGUUUCAAAUUCAAGAUGUUUGUGACUUCCCUUUCUUCCACCAUCGUUAUUUUUUGAAUAAUAUUUAGCUGGUACCAAGUGAAAGAAACUGGCCUCGUCUAUGGAGCUGACAAAUAACCACAAUUAAGAUCAUUGCGAGGCUAAUCGCCGACAACAUACGACGUAGUACGACAUAGUUUCAAAUUCAAGAUGUUUGUGACUUCCCUUUCUUCCACCAUCGUUAUUUUUUGAAUAAUAUUUAGCUGGUACCAAGUGAAAGAAACUGGCCUCGUCUACGGGGCUGACAAAUAACCACAAUUAAGAUCAUUGCUAGGCUAAUCGCCGACAACAUACACGUAUGUAUGUAGUGAGAGUGCUAUCGCUAAACCAUAUAAACAUUAAAAGCCUUAACUCCAUUGACAAACGACAUGAAAUACAUUAGACUUGACAGUGGAUGUUAGCAAUAACAAAAGAUUUUGAAUUGAAAAUUUCGUAACUCACCUUUCCAAGCACAAGAUAGAUUCCUGCCGAAUUUUCGUGGACGAGGACCUGUUUCACCCAACCAGCAACGAAGUAUUUAUAAGCCUCCAAGCUCUUGAAGUUUUUCAAAUUUUCGUGGGAAUAGGCUGAUUUUGUGUGGACAAGAUAGUUGCACAUAUCAGGGUAGCUAGCAGAUGUCAGGCAGACAGGGCGAAGACAGUGGGUCGAAAAACAUCGA